rnacentral:rRNA from 1 species
UACGAAGGGGGCUAGCGUUGCUCGGAUUUACUGGGCGUAAAGGGCGCGUAGGCGGACAGUUAAGUUGGGGGUGAAAGCCCGGGGCUCAACCUCGGAACUGCCUUUGAUACAGCAUAUCUUGAGUCCGAUAGAGGUGGGUGGAAUUCCUAGUGUAGAGGUGAAAUUCGUAGAUAUUAGGAAGAACACCGGUGGCGAAGGCGGCCCACUGGAUCGGUACUGACGCUGAGGUGCGAAGGCGUGGGGAGCAAACAGG